rnacentral:rRNA from 1 species
GCUGGCGGCAGGCCUAACACAUGCAAGUCGAGCGGUAGCACAGAGAGCUUGCUCUCGGGUGACGAGCGGCGGACGGGUGAGUAAUGUCUGGGAAACUGCCUGAUGGAGGGGGAUAACUACUGGAAACGGUAGCUAAUACCGCAUAACGUCGCAAGACCAAAGUGGGGGACCUUCGGGCCUCAUGCCAUCAGAUGUGCCCAGAUGGGAUUAGCUAGUAGGUGGGGUAACGGCUCACCUAGGCGACGAUCCCUAGCUGGUCUGAGAGGAUGACCAGCCACACUGGAACUGAGACACGGUCCAGACUCCUACGGGAGGCAGCAGUGGGGAAUAUUGCACAAUGGGCGCAAGCCUGAUGCAGCCAUGCCGCGUGUGUGAAGAAGGCCUUCGGGUUGUAAAGCACUUUCAGCGGGGAGGAAGGCGUUAAGGUUAAUAACCUUGGCGAUUGACGUUACCCGCAGAAGAAGCACCGGCUAACUCCGUGCCAGCAGCCGCGGUAAUACGGAGGGUGCAAGCGUUAAUCGGAAUUACUGGGCGUAAAGCGCACGCAGGCGGUCUGUCAAGUCGGAUGUGAAAUCCCCGGGCUCAACCUGGGAACUGCAUUCGAAACUGGCAGGCUAGAGUCUUGUAGAGGGGGGUAGAAUUCCAGGUGUAGCGGUGAAAUGCGUAGAGAUCUGGAGGAAUACCGGUGGCGAAGGCGGCCCCCUGGACAAAGACUGACGCUCAGGUGCGAAAGCGUGGGGAGCAAACAGGAUUAGAUACCCUGGUAGUCCACGCCGUAAACGAUGUCGAUUUGGAGGUUGUGCCCUUGAGGCGUGGCUUCCGGAGCUAACGCGUUAAAUCGACCGCCUGGGGAGUACGGCCGCAAGGUUAAAACUCAAAUGAAUUGACGGGGGCCCGCACAAGCGGUGGAGCAUGUGGUUUAAUUCGAUGCAACGCGAAGAACCUUACCUGGUCUUGACAUCCACAGAACUUAGCAGAGAUGCUUUGGUGCCUUCGGGAACUGUGAGACAGGUGCUGCAUGGCUGUCGUCAGCUCGUGUUGUGAAAUGUUGGGUUAAGUCCCGCAACGAGCGCAACCCUUAUCCUUUGUUGCCAGCGGUCCGGCCGGGAACUCAAAGGAGACUGCCAGUGAUAAACUGGAGGAAGGUGGGGAUGACGUCAAGUCAUCAUGGCCCUUACGACCAGGGCUACACACGUGCUACAAUGGCAUAUACAAAGAGAAGCGACCUCGCGAGAGCAAGCGGACCUCAUAAAGUAUGUCGUAGUCCGGAUUGGAGUCUGCAACUCGACUCCAUGAAGUCGGAAUCGCUAGUAAUCGUAGAUCAGAAUGCUACGGUGAAUACGUUCCCGGGCCUUGUACACACCGCCCGUCACACCAUGGGAGUGGGUUGCAAAAGAAGUAGGUAGCUUAACCUUCGGGAGGGCGCUUACCACUUUGUGAUUCAU